UACGGAGGGUGCAAGCAUUAAUCGGAUUUAUUGGGCGUAAAGGGCGCGUAGGCGGUAAUGAAAGUCAGAUGUGAAAUCCCGGGGCUCAACCCCGGAACAGCAUUUGAAACUCCAUUUCUAGAGGGUAGGCGGAGAAAACGGAAUUCCACAAGUAGCGGUGAAAUGCGUAGAGAUGUGGAAGAACACCGGUGGCGAAGGCGGUUUUCUAGCUUAUUCCUGACGCUGAGGCGCGAAAGCUAGGGGAGCAAACAGG
rnacentral:rRNA from 1 species